UACGGAGGUCUCAAGCGUUGUUCGGAUUCAUUGGGCGUAAAGGGUGCGUAGGUGGCGGGGUAAGUCUGGUGUGAAAUCUCGGGGCUCAACCCCGAAACUGCACUGGAUACUGCCUUGCUUGAGUACUGGAGAGGAGAUUGGAAUUUACGGUGUAGCAGUGAAAUGCGUAGAUAUCAAGAGGAACACUCGUGGCGAAAGCGAGCUACUGGACAAUUCCUGACGCUGAGGCUCGAAGGCUAGGGUAGCGAAAGGG
rnacentral:rRNA from 1 species